rnacentral:rRNA from 1 species
UACAAUGGCGUAAACAAAGAGAAGCGAAAGGGCGACCUGGAGCAAACCUCAAAAAUAACGUCCCAGUUCGGACUGCAGGCUGCAACCCGCCUGCACGAAGCCGGAAUCGCUAGUAAUCGCGGAUCAGCAUGCCGCGGUGAAUACGUUCCCGGGCCUUGUACACACCGCCCGUCACACCAUGAGAGUCGGGAACACCCGAAGUCCGUAGCCUAACCGCAAGGGGGGCGCGGCCGAAGGUGGGUUCGAUAAUUGGGGUGAAGUCGUAACAAGGUAUC